rnacentral:rRNA from 1 species
CAUGCUGUAAACGAUGAUUACUAGGUGUGGGGGGUCUGACCCCUUCCGUGCCGGAGUUAACACAAUAAGUAAUCCACCUGGGGAGUACGACCGCAAGGUUGAAACUCAAAGGAAUUGACGGGGGCCCGCACAAGCAGUGGAGUAUGUGGUUUAAUUCGAAGCAACGCGAAGAACCUUACCAGGUCUUGACAUCCAACUAACGAAGCAGAGAUGCAUUAGGUGCCCUUCGGGGAAAGUGGAGACAGGUGG